UGAGAUGCCACUUAUAGAUGUUGU
rnacentral:siRNA from 1 species